CUUUGGUGAAACACCAGGGUCCCUCCGCACGCUGGUCGGGGUUCCGACAGAAGUUCUCGUGCAGGACGCUGUUCGGCUCUGAAGCAUUAUACUCCCUGCAGACAGACAGGUGAGCAGGCAGACAGACAGACAGACAGGUGAGCAGGCAGACAGGCAGACAGACAGGUG